rnacentral:rRNA from 1 species
GACAGAGGUGCCAAGCGUUAGGCGGAAUCACUGGGCUUAAAGCGUGUGUAGGCGGAUCGUUAAGUGCCUUGUGAAAUCCCACGGCUUAACCGUGGAACUGCUCGGCAUACUGGCGGUCUUGAGCAACCUAGGGGCGAGCGGAACAAAUGGUGGAGCGGUGAAAUGCGUAGAUAUCGGAAAGAACACCAAUGGCGAAAGCACUCUGCUGGGCCGACACUGACACUGAGAGACGAAAGCUAGGGGAGCAAAUGGG